rnacentral:lncRNA from 1 species
AUGCAAUUGAAGUGGAUCGUCUGUGAAGAUAAUUUAAACUUGCUGGGGUACUGUAGAAUCUAUGAGUCUGUCUCCUUUCCUCCAUUAUUGUUUAAUUGCGCCAACCACUUCCCUAUUCCAAGAGCUAGCCACAAAUUGUUCAGUCCUCAGGGACCCGAGUGGAGUGGCUCCUCUGUGGCUCAGGCCUGGUCUUCCCUGGAGAUGGCGCUGCAGCUAAAGCAUCUUAAAGACGUCCUGGGCUCUUGCAGGAUGUGGAGUUGGCAGAGCAGCUGGAGACAACAAGCAGCCAGGAUUGAAAAUACCCAUCUUUCUGGAGAUCUCAUCUGUAAACUAAGGAUGUUCCCUUCCUGGUCCUUUGCCAACAUCUCCUUCUUCCAGCCUCCUGCUUUCCUGAUGAUUGGCAUCCCAGG